GGCAGCCGCCUCGCCGCUGCCCGCUCAUCUUGGAGGCGCAGAAGACACAGCGCCGGCCGGGGAGCGAGCGGCGACGAGCGGGGAGGCAGGGCAGAGCCGCGCCGCCUCCCGCCCCGCCUCCCCGGCUCCGCUCCCCGCAGCAGGUCACAACCACAAGUGGGAUCACUCCAUCAGUGGAUUGGAUCUGGACAAUCCUGAAUGUGUGGAGGAUGGCAUUUUACAAUCUUGCAUGUCAGAGUACACCACUUACCAACAGAUUGGCACCUCCUCCUGGUUCUCUGGGGAUUAGCUCAAGACCAAAACCCUGCCCCAUCUGCGGUUUGCACACUGUUACACCAUCUGCCUGCAGCUCCUCCUGCAGCCUCAGGAACUGCAGCAUCCAACUCGCCUGAUUUGCAGAGUCGAAGGAAUCCUGGAUCACCCACUGAAGUACUUUGGGAGUUGUGAGUGCUCAGCACCAGCACAAAUGAUAUUCUACACAAGACUCCUGGGAGCUGGGAGGUACCGGCCGCUGCGAUUGGCUACCUUCCUCCUGGCUUGAGAAGAGCUCCUGGCUGCAUGGCUCCAGGGAUUCCGGGGUGUCUCCAUCCGGCCCACCACCUUCACUCCCGUUUUCCUCCUCCUCCUCUUCCUCCUCUC